ACCAAGCAUAUGAUCAAAUUCUAGAUGUCUGAUCUUCAUUGGCUGCUUUGGCUAUAACACCUUUCGGGAGAAUCAAAAUUGUGUAGUACUUUGAAACUUGUUUCAAUCAAUUUAUACUUAAAAACUUGUUUCCUUUUGACAAUGUUUGCAUUGCAUCUGAACACCCACACUUUUGACUACUAGGUUCUUGACUGUGAGACACCUUCAUGUAGUUGUCUAAUAUUCAAACUCUAAACCAACUAGGUUGAGAUUAUCAAAAACACUAACCUCACAUUAUAAUACCAUACAAUGGCUUCAGGGCUGAAAGUACUGAGCUCUGGCAAUUCUAUUCUGUGGCAGGUGAAGGAAUGCACGUCAGCCUUGCUGCGUUUUGUGAAGAGGCCUCAUUUGAGCGAGCAAAAAAAUGGGUGCUAGAACUGAAAUCACAAGGGCUGUAAGACAUCAUUUUGCUCUUUGUGCUGGCUUGCUGUAAGAAAAUGGAUCCUUAUUUACUGGCUAUCAUUUUCAUGGAUGCCCACAAUAGCAAAGACAAAUUUAAUCAUGCUUUGGGUUAUGCAUAUAUACUCACGCACCCCGGAAUACCUUCCGUCUUCAAUGACCACU